GACGAACGCUGGCGGCGUGCCUAACACAUGCAAGUCGAGCGGGGUUGAAGCGAGGGGUAACUCAAGCUUCUACCUAGCGGCGGACGGGUGAGUAACGCGUGGGCAACCUGCCUCAAGGUCUGGGAUAACAGCCCGAAAGGGCUGCUAAUACCGGGUAUGCUUGUGGCCUCGCAUGGGGCUACGAGCAAAGGGGAAACCCGCCUUGAGAUGGGCCCGCGUCCCAUCAGCUAGUUGGUGAGGUAACAGCUCACCAAGGCGACGACGGGUAGCCGGCCUGAGAGGGUGACCGGCCACACUGGGACUGAGACACGGCCCAGACUCCUACGGGGGGCAGCAGUGGGGGAUCUUGCACAAUGGGCGAAAGCCUGAUGCAGCGACGCCGCGUGAGCGAAGAAGGCCUUCGGGUUGUAAAGCUCUGUCUGGAGGGACGAAGGAAGUGACGGUACCUCCGGAGGAAGCCACGGCUAACUACGUG
rnacentral:rRNA from 1 species